rnacentral:tRNA from 1 species
UUAAUUGAAGCCAAAAAUGAGGCUUAUCACUGUUAAUGAUAUAAUUGAAAUUAAUCUCCAAUUAAA